GACGAACGCUGGCGGCGUGCCUAAUACAUGCAAGUUGAGCGAUGAAGAUUGGUGCUUGCACCAAUUUGAAGAGCAGCGAACGGGUGAGUAACGCGUGGGGAAUCUGCCUUUGAGCGGGGGACAACAUUUGGAAACGAAUGCUAAUACCGCAUAACAACUUUAAACAUAAGUUUUAAGUUUGAAAGAUGCAAUUGCAUCACUCAAAGAUGAUCCCGCGUUGUAUUAGCUAGUUGGUGAGGUAAAGGCUCACCAAGGCGAUGAUACAUAGCCGACCUGAGAGGGUGAUAGGCCACAUUGGGACUGAGACACGGCCCAAACUACUACGGGAGGCAGCAGUAGGGAAUCUUCGGCAAUGGACGAAAGUCUGACCGAGCAACGCCGCGUGAGUGAAGAAGGUUGUCGGAUCGUAAAACUCUGUUGGUAGAGAAGAACGUUGGUGAGAGUGGAAAGCUCAUCAAGUGACGGUAACUACCCAGAAAGGGACGGCUAACUACGUG
rnacentral:rRNA from 1 species